UCCAUUGUUCACGCAAUGCAAAUGUCAAAUGCUUUUCUAUCUAAAUAUUGAAAGUGCAUGGGCAACGGAGAGGAGCAAAAUCAUGCAGUUUGAGGCCAUGUGGCAGGAAGUGAUACGGGCACCGCUGGAGAUAUGGUAGAGUAGCUGAGUUCAUAUCUCCACCCUCAGUAUGACAAGAAAACUACACCUUCUGCUGCUCUCUCUCUGUCUGACCUGUUUAAAUGGAGUAUGGAGU